rnacentral:rRNA from 1 species
UACGAAGGGUGCAAGCGUUGUUCGGAUUUACUGGGCGUAAAGCGCGCGCAGGCGGAUUAGCAAGUCAGAUGUGAAAUCUCGGGGCCUAACCCCGAAACUGCGUCUGAAACUGUUGAUCUAGAGUAUCGGAGAGGGAUGGGGAAUUUCCUGUGUAGGGGUAAAAUCCGUAGAGAUAGGAAGGAACACCAGAGGCGAAGGCGCCAUCCUGGACGAUUACUGACGCUGAGGCGCGAAAGCGUGGGGAGCAAACAGG